AACAAAAUCAAAUAUCAAAAUCCCUAAAUUCUCUUUCUUUCUCUCUCACUUCUUCUUCUUCUACCUUGCUCUUCGUCAAUUCUCCCCCCUCUCUCUCUGUCACAGCCCGAUGAGCUUACCUCAAGCUUAUCAAAAUCCUCACCGGUUUAGAAGUCAAAGGAGUUGACCAAUUGGUCUCGACGACGGAGAAAAUUGAGAAGAUGGAUGACACUGAGCUACGCACGAGCAUCGAUCAGAAGAUGGACGACGCUUCACCCGCAAAUCCUGCCCCACCACCCUCCUCGAAUCAUCAGAUUGAAACCCUAGAGACGGAGCUCUCCGCCAAUCCUAACAACUGCCAAACUUCUGGAGAUCCUAGCCGUGGAGGAGCGUGUGUAGAAGAAGAGUCUUUGGCUAAGAGUAAAGGUCAAAAUGUGAAUGACAUGGACGCAGAAGAUAAGAGUGAAACUGAAAAGGCAGCUAAUUUAAAUAAAGAAGAGGCAGAAGAAGCCCAACCAGUGAAGGCACAAGGUGUAAGCUCUAGUAACCUUCUUAAGCUCGAUAGUGUUGAAGGCCCAUCAGAUGCUCCGCUGAGUGCUGAGAUAUCUAAGGAAAAGCAGACAGGAAUCUCUGGAAAUUUUCUUGGUGGAACUGGAGCGGUCUCAUCUAGUUCGGUAGGACAUGUAGCUGUGUCUUCUGAUUCUGUUAUUGUCAGUGUGGAGUUGGAGAAAAUUAGUCUUUUGCAGAGUAGUCUUGAUUCAAAUGAAGUGAGCAGGAAUGCGUCUGAGACCGUAUGUGCGUCGCACGAUGUGAGUCUUGCCCAUAGUAGCGAAAAUGUGCCUUCAUUGACUCAGGUAACGGACAACCAGGAUUCUGACAGUUCGUCUAGAUUAUCAGGUGGUCAUGGUAGAAAUGAUAAAGUUGCGAAUGACAGUAUGACUGCUCAUGCUGGGAAUGAAGACAAAAAAGAAUUUAAGGGACAUUUAGACACAGAGAAGAGAGUGAAACGGAGAAAAAAACGCAGGUCUUCUAGAUCAAUGACCAUAUCCCAGCGCCUUGGAGCAAUCGACAAAACAACGGCUGAUAUUGACCUUGGUAUCUUGGAUGCCUUGGAGAUCGCUACCAAAGUUGCACAGGAAGUGGCAAGAGACGUAGACUCUGGGGAAGCUUCCCGAAGUUCUUCAGAAGAACUAUCUGAUGAAAGCGGGCAGUCUGAUUCGCAACACUCCCACGAUGAUGAGCUACACACAGGUUCUCCAUCUAAAAGAUUAUCAGUGGGUGAAAGUCAUUCCCUUGAGGAACCGCACGAUGUAAUGGAUGAGAAGAAUAAUAAACGUGAGGAUGGGAUGGUGAACACUGAUGAUGUUAAAGAGAAGCACCUGGCAGAACCUGCUAAAUCCGAGGUAGGGAGAGAGAAAAGCCCAUGUGGCUUUGACCUCAAUGAAGAUAUUUGUCCUGAUGAGACCGAUGACAUUAUGUCUGUUUCAUAUUCUGGUAUGCCUGCAGCAGCACCGUUGCAAUUGGAAAGAUCUCUUAGUGCGAAAGGUUUGGCUGCUUGUAGUGUAUCUCACUCGGAAUCACCUCACAAAGUUCCUAGCGGGGAUUCAAGAGAAAAGCAGGUGAUAUGUGUCGAUCUGAAUUUAGCUGAUGUAGGAGAUGAUCAAGUUGAAGAUCAAACUCCCUGGAAACAGUUUCCUUUCUCCUCAUCAAGCUCUAGGGGUGGAGAGUACUCACGUGAAGCUAAUUUCCGGGGAUCAAGCAGGUUCAACCUGGAUUUGAAUUGUACAAACGAGGACGAUGACAUUCCUCCACCUUCUGAGUUGAAGAUGGAAACAAGAUUGUUUUUAAGUCACAAUGGGCAGCAAAGCGCGUCACCUUCAGUUUCUCAGCAAUCAGGGAAGGAAGUAAACUUCGACUUGAAUGACAGGCCACAGUUUUUCAUCGAUUCACGUGAUCAGGGUCCCUACUAUGGGCAGCACCCGUGGAGCACAGCCUCCUAUGGAGGGCACAAAGUGGAUGAACCGGUUAUCUCUCUAUUGGGUACAAAAGUGGACGUUGACAGAAAAGAGACUGUUUCCCAGAUGGCUUCGUUCCUGUCCAAUGGUAAGUCCCUCGAGACAGCAACAGGAUUAUACAUGGGAAAAACAGGAAACUCUUUGGGUUUAGCACCUGGAGUGUCCUUUUCUCCAGCUCCUGUAUAUGGGUACAACGGAUUUACUGGUCCUCCUGGGAUGUCAAUGUCAUCAUCGGCCAUGUAUGUUCCUGGAACAGCUAUUCCAUACAUGGUGGACGCAAGGGGUACGCCAGUGAUGAUGCCUCAAAUGAUGGGAUCGACUCCAUAUGCACAGCCACCAUUUCCUCAACAGCACAUGUUCAUGAGCUUGGCGGGUGGAUCGCAUAGUCUGAAUGGAUCUGUGCAGCCACGCUUUGAUCAAAGUUAUGGGUUUGGGGGUGAGAUGGGAAACCGAGAGUCGCUAAGUUUGAGGCAGUUUCUAUCACCUGGACAAGGCGAAGCUAUGGGAGAGCAUUCAGGAGCAAAUGUAGAGCCUUCAUCGAGCUUAUCUAUUAGCAUUGGUGGAAAGCGGAAAGAGCCGGAGACACGUUGGGAGUUCCCUCCUCCAUGGAGAUGAGUGAUUCGCAGAAAGUGGAGAUUGGGUUCUUAAUAGGUGGAUGGAUUGGUUGAUUGGUUAGAGAAUAACAGAAGUGUUGGGAGAAACAGAGUUUGAGCUGUCGUAAAGAACAAUACUUGGAGAAUAUCUAGCGGUUCAAAUUAUAUGCAUAAUCAGACCAAUAUCAAAGCAGCUAAACGUAACAGUUGGGGAAGUAGAAGAAGCACCCAGAAACUCAUUUUUAGCCUUGGAAGUCAGACGCAAUAAAGAAGUAUAUAAAGCUUCUCAGGAAUUAUGCAAACCUUGAAAAGCUAAGACAAGCAAGGGAAGCUAUGAGUGCCGUGUUUCCAUUAAGUCCUUCUCUGUGGCUUGAAUGAGCAAGGAAUGAAGCAUCUCUAGCCUCUAGAUGAAUUAGGACUGGCAUAUGUUGACUUUGUGGAUGAUGAGGACUUUGCAGCAGCUAUAGCAAAGAACAAAAAGAUGUUUCUUGGUAAGAAGAUCAGUAUAGAACGGUCAAAUCCAAAGAAGGGUAAAAAGAGGAUUUCAGUCGGCGUGGAAAUUGGGAGGAAUCUGUCUCUCUUCCUGGUUUUCCUCAAGUCUUGAGUUCAUACUUUAUCUGGUCCAAAGAAUUCUAGCCUGGUAUGAUUGCUUUCAUAGAAGGUUCGAGGAAUUCAAAGGACACAUCUCGAAGUUCUGAAUAGGCGAAAGCACCUUGGUCCCUUCUCUUCUCAUUCCCUUGGAUAUAGCUUUUCUUGUUCUACUUUAUUAACGCACUCUGAAGAAAAUCUUAUAUUGUAGACUGACAAUAUCGCAUCUGAGACUCAAAAAAGCAGAGACAAACCCGUUCAAGGGGGCUGAGUGAGUUUCCAUUGUAUACAUGUAAACACCUUUUGGUAGUUCUUGAGAUUUUGGAAGUUCUUAACUCGCGAGUAUAUAGUAUAUAUACUGUAAGGAGGUGUUAUUGGUUUAUAUAUUUUUAUUGAUUUA